AGCCAGAGAGUGAAGCCAGGGCAAGUCCUGGGUCUGUCUUGGCAUACGCCAUUUUUCUGCAAACUCGGCUAAGAGACUACGCUCCUCUGCAGAUGGAUGUUUACAUUGUUUCAGUUUGGGGCUGUUACAGAUCAGGCUGCUGGUGUGUCCCUGGCCCCUGUGUCUGCGGGACAGAAGCCGCCUUUUCUCCUGAUAAAUACCCAAGAGUGGAGUGGCUGGUGAUACGGCUUCCUCUUGGGUGACUCUGGCCUGAUGGGCCGGCACCCUUCUCCAUCUCUGCUGGCGCUCUCAGACAGUCCAUACGGCACUAAGGACAGGUCGCUCCGUCAGCAAGAACAGCCCAUGAUCUCCACCGUAGCCAUUACUGACACUUGAGAUGAACUUCCGAAUCUGUUUUACAGGCCUGCGCGUGUUUAGGUGCAUGGAAAUCUACAUAUUUCAGAUCACACUGGGCGUGUGUUAAGGGGCCUGACCCCCCCUUCAUGUCCUCUGGAUGUCUGUCCUCGGUAUAGACAGUUGUCCACGAUCCUUUCCUAACGGGCUUGAGUGCGUGCAGACCCAGCCAGAAUCUGGCGAGAGCAGAGCCGAGAGUGUGUCCUGGGAAGAACCAGGCUAAAGUCUUUAGGGCUAACUCCGAGGAAGACCUGCCUCUCGGCGUGAGACGCCGUAGGGCCCGCGCGCUCGAGAGGGUGAACCCUGUGGGCGUCUGGGGGCCCCGGGACCACACGGGGGGUGAGGGCUUCUCUUACUGCCCAUGGGUGGAGGGCAGAUGGAGGGAUGCUUGCCGGAGUCUUCUCCCGCAGAUCUGUGGAAGGGCCCUCAGUUAACUGGUCAUGGAAUUUCUGGGUGACUGUAAGAGGAGGAGCUGGGAUCUUGUCCCUUGUUCAUGCUGCACUACGAACUUGGA